UUCUGAAAUAUUCUUGCUGUUCUAAUUUUGUAAUAAUCAGGGCAGGCUAAACAUUCACAAUAUAUUAAGACUAUGCAUACUUCUCCAGAUCUACUUUUUUCCCUAGGUCUGUUUUUUUUAAAUGCUGGUGAUAAAC
rnacentral:snoRNA from 3 species